rnacentral:piRNA from 1 species
UACAUAGUGAAUUCUAAGUCCUCCUGGG